rnacentral:rRNA from 1 species
GACGUAGGGCGCGAGCGUUGUCCGGAUUUAUUGGGCGUAAAGAGCUCGUAGGCGGCUUGUUGCGUCGACCGUGAAACCCGCGGCUUAACUGUGGCUUGCGGUCGAUACGGGCGGGCUGGAGUUCGGUAGGGGAGACUGGAAUUCCUGGUGUAGCGGUGAAAUGCGCAGAUAUCAGGAGGAACACCAGUGGCGAAGGCGGGUUCUGGGCCGAUACUGACGCUGAGGAGCGAAAGCGUGGGGAGCGAACAGGA